CCUACGGGAGGCUGCAGUGGGGAAUAUUGCACAAUGGGCGCAAGCCUGAUGCAGCCAUGCCGCGUGUGUGAAGAAGGCCUUCGGGUUGUAAAGCACUUUCAGCGGGGAGGAAGGCGGUGAGGUUAAUAACCUCAUCGAUUGACGUUACCCGCAGAAGAAGCACCGGCUAACUCCGUGCCAGCAGCCGCGGUAAUACGGAGGGUGCAAGCGUUAAUCGGAAUUACUGGGCGUAAAGCGCACGCAGGCGGUCUGUCAAGUCGGAUGUGAAAUCCCCGGGCUCAACCUGGGAACUGCAUUCGAAACUGGCAGGCUAGAGUCUUGUAGAGGGGGGUAGAAUUCCAGGUGUAGCGGUGAAAUGCGUAGAGAUCUGGAGGAAUACCGGUGGCGAAGGCGGCCCCCUGGACAAAGACUGGCGCUCAGGUGCGAAAGCGUGGGGAGCAAACAGGAUUAGAUACCCCUGUAGUC
rnacentral:rRNA from 1 species